rnacentral:lncRNA from 1 species
CUCGUCCGUAUUGCCGCCGGGUCCGCAGCCCCGCAGUACUACAGCCAGGCCGCUCUCCCCCCACCCGCGUUCGUGGCCUUCGAGAGCCCGACUGCACCAUCUCUGCCUGGUCCUGAAGGAGCAGCUGCCACCAGCACCUUCUCAGGGGCUGGGCCAAGCCGAACCGCGCAGCCGACACCCACAGUGCUGCAGGCCCUGGCCAGCUGCAGUUGGAGGCACAGUGCCAUCUAGCGGAUAAAAGAAAAAAGGCUCCAUCGCUUUUUUUUUUAAGUUACUGGAGAACCAUAGACCAAAGAAUCAGCUGUCUUUAUUUGCUACCAAAGGAGCUUGAUAACCAGAGAAGGAAAUGGAUUUCCUGAAUGUCACACAGCCAGCUGGUGGCCGCAUUGAUACUACAGAGCCUCAUCAUUUGAGCCUUGGUCCAGCAUUCUCCGCACUAUACCACAGUAAAGAAACCAGAGGAUAAAAGAGCUUCUAGUUUUGGCUGAGUGGCAUUUCAGACCUCUGCUGAGGUGGAGGUGAACACAAGCGGGGGCCAGCGUCUGAAGAGAUGGUGUCAGUUAUUCACUAUCGAAUGCCUUGGCUGGACUCUCUCAGUCAUGGGUGCAAGGCCAGAGCAAAUUCAGUUGUCCACCCUGCUCUCCCUCCCAGCAAAUCUGCCAUGAAACUCAGCACAAGAUAAGACCAGAUGUUGACUGGAAACAUAUGGCGAUGCUUUGGGAUCAAUCCUGUUUCUCAUGGAUAUCCUAAAACAGCAAAAGGCUUUCUUGGCUGUGUUCCCUUCCUUCAGAGGCUGGCCUUCCUUGACUCCCGGACCAUCAUUCCGGCAGGCAAGAUGAGCCCAUCCUGCCUUACACUGAAGGUCACUGGCAGAGUCCUGAGCUGUAAAUGUGAGCAUGAAGGGUGUGCUCUUAACUGUUAAACUCACUCCUUUCAUUUAAUUUCUUUAAAGCUAAUUAGAGCAAGGGAAACUUUUAAUGCCAUUUGUUUUUCUAACCCAGGGAAUCUGACUCAGGGACUUCUGUGGCCUGGAAUGUCCUGAACCGGCCAAGAUUUGACAGAGCCUUCGGUGCCCAGGGCACUGUCUGAGUCACAGAGCAGCAUCGCACAGCCUAGUUCACCCCGGGCAAAAACGUUCCAAGUUCUCUGGAUGAACAGCCUACAGAUGCCCAGCACUGAAGGCCUGGGUCUGGCAGCCCCCAAACAGAAAGCCCACCCCAAGGGAGGUCCUGCUUCGACACCUCUCCACCGUCACUGUCCUGCCCUCCAAAAUUCACUCUCCUCCAAAGCACUUGGUUAAAACUGGGCUUUGUCGCGCUGUCAGGAGUCUGUUGAGCUGUAGAAGCACAGACAGUCCCACUUUUCAGCUCAGCACAUCCCUGGAAAAGGGGCUCUAAAGAGGACCUUCAGGAUGUCGAUCAUAUUUUCUUAUAGGAACGCUCUUCUAAUUGGGGUGCGUUUCUAACCAGAGUCGUGGCUUCAAAUGAAUCACCGUGAUUUCCAGCAGCAUGUCAUCAAAGCCAAUAUGUCCCCAAACCUCUGUAAUCAUCUAUCAGAAGAAAAUCUCUGACAAGCCUUUUUCUCUUGAUGCUGGCAGAGCCCUCAGCUCAUUACUCAGUGUUCCUGAGCUGAGCUCUCCCUCCCCGCCGCACGGGCUGGAGCCCUUUCUUUCCUCUCCUGCCCUUGAUCUUGAGGCUGUUAGCCCCCUCGUUGUUCCGCACUAGCUGGCUCUUCUCCUUUCUUCACUGAAUUCCUUUAGCUAAAAGACCUUUGAACAAUUUACGAUUUCAGUGCUCUCCUUUCCCGCCAACCCCCACAUUUGGCAUAACCCACGCUGUGACGAGCAGCACCCCAGAUCAUCAUGACCCCGUCCCUCCCCGCAUUACUGAGCCUGGACUGUGAUUAGCAUAUAAAGAAAAUCCCUGUGCAGUGCUCUUACAGGUUGGAGCCCUCCAACAGUCUGAAUAUACCCCAAUUCGCUCCGCCUUAAGGGGACAGGGUAGCUAAAAAGGGCAUUCAUUCAUUCCAAAGGUAUUUAUUGAUUUCUAUGUGCCAAGUACUUUCCAAGUCACUUGGGAUAUAGCUGUGAAUAAAACAGAUAAAAAUCCACUUGGGGCUCGAGUGAGGAUGUAAUGAGCAGGAAGAUAAUUGGCUUGGAAGUCUGAGGAGCUAGUCUAGAUGCUUCCACUAACCGGCUAAGUCACUUCUGCCUCUCUGAUCCAGUCUCCUCAUCUGGAGAAUGAAAAGAUUGGACUUGGUCCCAGACAAGGACUCACCCCUGUGACCAUCUAAGGGCUCUUUGGUUUGUGACCUUUCUUAUACUCUAGAAUCUUCGGCUUCCCAGCCAAGCGAGUAGAGCUCCCUGCGUCUCCUUAAGUGGGGCAUUCACGCCGACUCCACUCUCGACCCUCGCAAUUCUUUUCUGCUUUGACCGUUCUUUGGUCCUAAGAAAGAGAGAAGAGAGAGCCCUCUCCAUCAGGUUCGCCUGCCUGCCUUUCCCUCUUGUUCCCCCCGCAUCCUCCCCUCUCCACUCCCAUGUGGUCACAAACAUUUGUCAAGAACAAAUGACCUCUUCUUCAAAGACGGUUGUUGUGGGCGGGAUGCCUCUUUGGGGUCACUGUGAUGCCUUUGGGGGCAUCUGUUUUCCUGGGCAUGCUCGAGGAAGCCAGCGAACAGAUCACAGGGAGGAUGCGGUACAGUUGGUGCAACAGAACCACUGGAAACCAAUUAACAGACUGAAAACCAGAGAAAGGACGGCGGCCAAAGAACAGGCACCCCGUGGUAAACAAUUACCAGUGUGGGCAGGGACAGCGAUGUAGGUCAGCUCGCAGCCAGGAAAUAGUUUUACAAGUGCGAAAUGUGAAUCCCUUCUGGAAGCAGAAUCUGGGUAGAGGUUUUCUUUCUAUAUUUGGGCAGAUGACCACCUGGUUGUCCUGCAACUCCCCUCGGUUUCUGAGCAGCUGGUCUUGGCUACCACCUCCCUCCAAAAGAAAACGGCUCAGGGGCCUUCUAACCUUGACCUUGACCUUGAUGGUCACGAGAGAGGGAUGGGAGGCUAGAUCCUGCUUUAUAAGCUAGGUCCCCACAGGGUGCCUGUAUUGUACUCUCACCUUCUGAGGACGCUGGAUGCUUUCCGUCACAGCUGUGGUACAUUCUUUGUUUUUGAGAGCAGACCUUUCAGCACCUACGGCGCUUGGAAAGAUUUACCAGUUUCAGAUGAAUAUCCGGGGAACCCUGAAAUUAAGAUCAACACCCAAGCUUUAAGGACGAUUCUGGCAGGGGUUUGGUCAAGGGGAAACAGGAGACUUGGGGGUUCAGAUCCAGCUCGGUGUGCGAUCGAGUCCUAGGAGCACUCGGGUGCUCACGCCCAGAGGCUCAGGUCGGGAAGAGCCACUGAGACCUUUGACCUCCGAACUGGAGCCCCAGCUUUUACGGUGGACGAAGUGCUUCCACAUUCAUUCUGUCUUGGUUCCUCAGAACAGACUGGAAAGUGGGCAGGGCAGGUGUUAACAGCUCCACUUCGUAGAGAAGGAAACUGAGGCCAGAGAAGACUCCGGACAUGCAUUUGCUGAGCUGUACGUGACAGUGAAGACUGGAGGGAGGUCUCCCAGGGCCGAGGUGGGCGUCUUUCUACCACCUCGCAGUGUGUUGGGGGGUCUUCUGAGCGGCCUGGGUCAGACAAGGCAGUUGUGCUGGUGAAAGCGUAUUUCUGGUAUCUCUCGUUAACCUUAUCCUAGGAAAUACUUUAGGUUUCCUAGGAACUCAUGGGAGGCUGAUCCUGACCUAUGGCUGCGUAGAGGCACCCAGCCCACUAGAACCCACUGUCCCUGAGGCCAGAGCCACAGAACCCUGAUGGGCAUUUCUCUAGGUGGUUCUUGACUCUGCUUCCACAAGACCAGAGAGGAAACUACACCCUCUAAAUCCCCACGGCUCCCCAGGGAAACAACAAUUGUGUUUACCAAGGACUUCAGGAGCUCCACUCUCUGGUCCCCAGGCUGGUGCAGCUUUGCCCCGAGGCUGCUUUCCUUCCCGACCACCCUUGGCCUCUGGUUUAUGUGGACGUGUUGACCAGACCCUGAGACCCUCUCCUUCUCAGGCACUGCGUAGGGCAGCUUUUUGGGCAUACUACCCUCGUGAUGGUUGAACUUUCUGCUGGUCUUUUCAUAGAAGAACAAAGAACUGUCGUCCUCAACUUAGCGACAUAAACCUCCACCCAUGACAAACACCUGUUCCCAGCUAGUCAUGGAGCAUUUCUUAAAAUGGUACGUGAGAAAGUUUGCAAAAGCAGUGGUCUGGAAUCCUUCUGGUCUUAGUUAACUUUGCCAGCUGAGUUGUCUUCCUAGGUGAAUAACAGGAGAGUAUUGCUUUGACUCAUCUCUAGCCAGCUGGACGAGCUGUAGCGCACACUGGCACCCCCAAAUAUUGUUGCAUGAGGCAAAUGCUUGGCGUGAAACAAUUCCCCUCCAAGCCCUUUCUGGGGCCUCAUUCCAGCGGGGUAACUGUUGGGGUGAAGGAAUUCAUUGUGCGGAGGAGUUCAAUGUCUUUUUUUAAACCAGGAAUUGAGAAGUGUGACUAAUGAGCACGCUGUAAAAGCCACAGACCACCUCAUUAAAUGUUGGAGCCAUUUCCCAGGCUGGGUAGAAAUGAAAAUCCCCAAAGAAAGACCACCCCGCCAAUUAAUGAAGAGCUUUUCCUCAGUGUGAUGCAUAUUUAGCAGACAUUUUUGAUAGACAAAGAGCGUUUACCAGAAGCCUUCAAAAAAGCCCCCUGAUUUCUGAUGGGAUGUGGAGGGAUGAGAGAAAGAGGAGGAAGAGAUUUCUCUGCAUGGUGUACCGGAUGUUAGCAAAGAGCAGCUGGUUUGAGAUUUCAGGGUUCAGGUGAUUCUGGACUGUUUCUCCUUCCCUGCAAGGACCCUUCUGUCAUGGUGGGUUUUGCUUACUCUUCUAGGGCCUGCCCCUAGGGUUGUUGAAGGUUACAAGAGAGAAUCCACAAAAAGCUUGUUCUCAGUGCCUGGUGCACAGCAAACGUUGAGGGUAUUUGUUGCCCGUGUCACUCAUCACAUCAACAUUACGGGAGGAGAUGUGUCCCUUUUUGUGGGUGAGGGAACAGAGGCAGCGGUCAGGGAGCGCUGUUGCCCAUGGCCACUGCACAAGGUCUCAGCUACACUCGGGCUGAUCUUUCCAGGCCAGGCUGAGUGGAGGGACAGUGACGGAGAGAGCUCAGGCUGCACGUCGGUGGGCUGCUGGUCAGUCUUGUUCCACUGUAGUCCCAGCCCUCCCGUGCAUUUCAACCAUCUGGGUUGUGCCAAGACAGCACUGCUGACCCGCUAGCAUUGUUGUAAAUACAAAAGCUCCACACUGUCCUUUAUAAAGAACCCUAUUACUUGGCUAGUGGCUUGGAGUAAGGCCAUGCUUCAUGCUGCAACAGGCUUAGCUCAGGCCCUCGGAACUGGUCUCCCUGCUUCCAGGCUGUCUCACCCUCCUCUACCCUUCACACAGCCACCAAGAGGCCUUUCUAGAACCAUCUUCUGAUUUGGGUCAUGAUACACCCCUAUUUUAAAGUUUCUGCUGGCUCCCCUUUGCCUACAAGGUCAAGUCCACACUCCUCAUUGUGGCCUUCAGAGCCCUUUAUAAUCACCCCACCCACCAUCCCCAGAAGGACACGCUCUAGUCACUCUGAACUCACCCUUCAUGGUAGGGCAGGCCCUUUCCUGACUCCAGACUUCUGCCCAUGCUCUUCCCACCACCUGAAGGCCACCCCUACCCACUUCUCCGCCUGGCAAACUCCUGUUUCAUCAUUCAAGACCCAGCUGCAGGAGCACCCCCUCUGGGUGGCCUUCCUGACUUUCUCCAGCAGAGGUUCACACUCUCCUCUGCGAGCAGGAGCCUGCUGCUGGUGCCGAGACGUUUCCUGGUAUUCAAGAGCGGGCCCCUGCCCCCCACCAUCCCCACUUCUGCACAGGGCUGGGGUCCCGCUGAACGGUGUAGCCUGGCCUGGACCAUGCUUCCAAACUUGUCACCUGCUGUCCACGUCAACCUCCUUAGGAGACACAGUGUGAAUAUUUACACCAGAAAUUGUCCUAGACAUGGAAAUUGUGUAACUGACGAUUAGGGGAUAAAAAACACUGUU